rnacentral:rRNA from 1 species
UACGGGGGGGGCAAGCGUUGUUCGGAAUUACUGGGCGUAAAGGGCUUGUAGGCGGCCAACUAAGUCAGACGUGAAAUCCCUCGGCUUAACCGGGGAACUGCGUCUGAUACUGGAUGGCUAGAGAUUGGGAGAGGGAUGCGGAAUUCCAGGUGUAGCGGUGAAAUGCGUAGAUAUCUGGAGGAACACCGGUGGCGAAGGCGGCAUCCUGGACCGACACUGACACUGAAAAGCGAAAGCCAGGGGAGCAAACGGG